ACUUCAUCACUGACUUUCUAUUGGUUUGACUAGCUGCCAGAUCAAGACUGGAGCUCCUUUCAGGAUUGAGAGGCUGGCCAGAUACAACCAGCUUCUUCGCAUCGAAGAGGAACUCGGAGAUGUCCGCUAUGCUAGUGAAACUUUCAGAUCUCCUUAGAGGAAUUUACCAAAUUAGUGUUGAGAAGUGUUUUUAAAAGCUCUAGUAAAACUGAGGCC